UCACCGGGCAUUCCUAUGACGGA
rnacentral:miRNA from 1 species